AUCCCAUAAACCGUGGCUCAGUUCAGAUCGUAGGCUGCAACUCGCCUACGUGAAGGAGGAAUCGCUAGUAAUCGCAGGUCAGCAUACUGCGGUGAAUACGUUCCCGGGCCUUGUACACACCGCCCGUCACACCAUGGAAGUUGGCCACGCCCGAAGCCGUUACUCCAACCCUUGUGGAGGAGGAUGUCGAAGGUGGGGCUGAUGACUGGGGUGAAGUCGUAACAAGGUAGCCGUACCGGAAGGUGCGGCUGGGUCACCUCCUAAC
rnacentral:rRNA from 1 species